rnacentral:rRNA from 1 species
UACAGAGGUCUCAAGCGUUGUUCGGAUUCAUUGGGCGUAAAGAGCUCGUAGGCGGUCUGUUGCGUCUGCUGUGAAAACUCGGGGGCUUAACCCCGAGCCUGCAGUGGAUACGGGCAGACUAGAGGUAGGUAGGGGAGAAUGGAAUUCCCGGUGUAGCGGUGAAAUGCGCAGAUAUCGGGAGGAACACCGGUGGCGAAGGCGGUUCUCUGGGCCUUACCUGACGCUGAGGAGCGAAAGCGUGGGGAGCGAACAGG